ensembl:lncRNA
AUCUUGGGUCUGAGCUCAGGAUUUGCUGGCUCUUGUGCUUCUGUGCAUUUUUUUCAGGCCGUGCUGAGUCAAACUUCAAAGCUCCUUCUGGUUGUGGUGACUUUGAUACGGAUGGAUGCAUAUUUAAUAUACACACAUGUAUUUUAUUUUUGUGCAUGUUGGCUAUGUAUGUGUAUGCAGCUAGGAAAAAAGAAGGUUGUGCCUGCUGCGAGGUGGAGACGAAGAAGUGCGCAUCCAUCCUUUUUUGCCUUCUUGCUGCAAACUCACCAACAAGGCCAUUCAGGACUGAAUUCAUUCCCAGGCCUUGACCUGGGCUGUGGUGGGACUGGAAACUAUCCCACUACUGCUGUGCUCUUCUGCCUAAUAAUGGGUUUUUGUGGCUGCAAGAUGAAGAAACCACUGUUCCCAUGUCCCUGCAGGCCUUGUGGUGACCAAGGAGCGUGGCUAUGGAGGCUGACUUGUCACACACCAUCCUGUAUCUGGCCAGGAAAGCUGUCUGCGGCCUUGUGGAGUGCUUCCAUGCUCUCUGCCUACCCCAGAAUGCUUCUGGAGGCCUUCAAACAAAGCAUCUUCAUACAUCCCUGCUGGAGAGGGCAUCACUUAUGGCACUACAGGGAAGAUCUCUCCCCUGCUAUGCACCUUUUUGUUAUUCUUGUAGCUCAUUGCCCUGAGGAGCACCCAAGCCAGGAAUAGUAGUUCAGUGGGCGACCAAAAAAAGUUUUCUGCAUACAUCUAGACUGAUGCUGGGGCAGGAUGCUGGUGGUCUUUGAUUCACACUGGUUUACCUUCUGUAGAGCAGGACUGGAGCGUUCAGUGCUGCCUUUCCUUGGCAGCUCACUGCAGUGCUGCUUUGCUAUCCGUCUGCCAUCUACGCUCACCUCUGCAAGCGCGGCUGAUGCAGCUAAUCUGUGCUUAUCUGAAUGCAGAGGCAUAGCAGCAAGAGAUUUCAUGCAAAUGUAGCAUCAUGCAGCCCUGUUCCUUCUCGCAAACUAUUGAUUACGUGUCUGAUUUGCUCUCCCCUGAUAAUAGGCCAUAGGCAGAAGCCAAUAGGGCGAGGAGGACGAAAACCUGUCAUGAUCAUUCGAUGCAGCUGGUGAGCCAAUGGGAGGAGAACACCCGUCGAUUGGGUUGGUAGAGAGAAUAAGGCUGGGGGAACUGUCUUAGCAACAGCAGAAAGCAUCUCUUUCCCCCUCCCACUGUGCAACCAUACUGGAAAGUUCCUGAUGAUGUUCCUUAAUGUGUUUGUCUCGCUCAUGCCAAGUUUGUACGUGAUUUGUUUGACUUUGACGUGUCUGCCAGUUUACCCCUUCUCUCCAUGAUCCUUUGGAGAGGAUAGAAGGGCAUCUUUUCUUUGUCUGUCCUAUUGAAACCAACUAGUGAGCUCAAGGUAAAGUGAUCUCAUGCUGGAUUCAUUGCCCGUGCAAGCCCUGAGUAAGUGAGUGAGUUUUGUAUUGUCUUUGUGUGGUUGGUAUCUUCGUCUUGACAUCUUUCCAAGGCAGCUAAAGCAAUGCAGAGCUGACACCUUGCCUAGCAUGGGCUUCAUGGUGUAUUGUUGCACUGCAGGUUAGGCAGCCUGUUGUGGUAGUGGGAGCUGGACACCUUGUAUUCUCAGCUCUUUUAAAGAAUCCUUGUAUGAAGUCAGGUGUAUCCCUGGCCUUCAAAUCCAGAUUCCCUUACCGGGCUGCUGGGUUCUUUGGUCUGGGAAUGAGAAGAUAAGCUUUCUCUGUGGAGCCCUCCCUGUGAUCUGUGGGCUGAGAGAAGUCAGUCCACAGAUCACGCUGCCUUACCUCUUAUCUUUUAUCUGCCUUACAGCAGGAACUGUUCUUUCUGUCUCUCUGCCUCUCUCGUGGUCAAUCCAUCAUUGGUUUAACCAACCGAAAAUGAAAAUGACAGUUAAAUUUGUCUAAACCUUGUGAACAUUUAUUGAAAGCCAAACAUUGGCACUUUCAGCACUCCCUUGAAAAUGACCUUCAUUGUCCUCCUCUCACCUGCUGCCUCCUCUGGCUCAUAAGCAUUCACACUUUUAUCUCACUAUUUGCAUGCUGAUAAUAGACAUAGAUUUUGUUAGUCCUGCAUCUGUCGAGACGGCGGGGACAAUAAUAGAAGCACCGUCGGGACCCAUAUAUAUUGGUCGUAGGAGAGUGUCCAAUGAUGUCUGGGUCAGAGAGCCUUUAACUGCAGUGUCAGGGAAUUUAGUCAGCUGUCAUCGCUUCUUAAUUAAAAAUAGCUGAGACUCAC